rnacentral:rRNA from 1 species
GAGUUUGAUCCUGGCUCAAAAUCAACGCUGGCGGCGUGCCUAACACAUGCAAGUCGAACGAGAAAGUCCCGCAAGGGACAAGUAGAGUGGCGAACGGGUGAGUAACACGUGGAUAACCUGCCGUCGAGUGGGGAAUAACCUUCCGAAAGGGGGGCUAAUACCGCAUAAGACCCGAGGGCAUGAGUCCUUGGGUUAAAAGGAGUGAUUCGCUCGAUGAGGGGUCCGCGCCUGAUUAGCUUGUUGGUGGGGUAAUGGCUCACCAAGGCGACAAUCAGUAGCCGUCCUGAGAGGGAGCACGGCCACACUGGAACUGAGACACGGUCCAGACUCCUACGGGAGGCAGCAGUGAGGAAUUUUUGGCAAUGGGCGAAAGCCUGACCAAGCAACGCCGCGUGGGUGAUGAAGUAUUUUGGUACGUAAAACCCUUUCGGCAGGGACGAAUUCUUGACGGUACCUGCGGAAGAAGCCCCGGCUAACUCCGUGCCAGCAGCCGCGGUAAUACGGGGGGGGCAAGCGUUGUUCGGAAUUACUGGGCGUAAAGGGCGCGUAGGCGGUUGGAUUAGUCAGCUGUGAAAACCUCAGGCUCAACUUGAGGCCUGCAGUUGAAACUGUCCAGCUGGAGUGUGGGAGAGGAGAGUGGAAUUCCCGGUGUAGCGGUGAAAUGCAUAGAUAUCGGGAGGAACACCAGAGGCGAAGGCGGCCAACUGGCUUGGUACUGACGCUCAGGGACGAAAGCGUGGGUAGCAAACCGGAUUAGAUACCCUGGUAGUC